AGCGUGUAGUAUCAAUCCCUGGCGAUUUCGGACCUACCGCCUCCGACUACUGUCCUCAUCCCUUCUUCUCCGAUGGAUUCAAAUGUCGGCAAGGCCGAGGCCGAAUCUCAGUGCUUUUGUGGUUGAUUGCGUGAUCAUUUGGUUUCAAUUUAAUUUAGGGCUUGUUGUCUCUUACGCUCUGUCAAGGGUGUUCAUCAUCAUGUCUUUUCGGAAUUCACAUUGGAAGCCCGAGGAGGGAUGGAAUAGGGAUCAAUAUUAUGAUGGAAAGAAUAAGAGAAACAAAUUUCAAUCUAAUUGUGAUCAUCAUCUUGGCAGGUUGAGGCUUUACUACUAUGUGAAAGAGCCAACAGAACGGGGGUAAUCCAACCCGAUGACUGUUGACCCAAAGGUUCUUUAGAUGAUCGGGGCAAGGCGAAGGCUUGAUCAUGCACAUCUUUCAAAAUUUAUGAAAUUCGAUUUCAGGAUACUUUGAUUUGUAAAUAUGACUUUUGGAAAUAGUGUUUUGUAAACAAUUAUGGUUUUGGGCUCGGUCUUAAAAAUGAAAGUUUUAUUUCAA